AAAAAUCUGCCUGAAAGGAGAAGGGACCUUUCCCAGGAUCCACUUGGACCUGCCCAGGAACAUCAAAGGCAACGCCAAAUAUGAGAAGAUCCUCCAAAAGGCCCAAGAAAAGCUGGACAAAGGCAGCCAGAGAGACGAGGCCAUUGCUCUGGGGGAGGCUGUGGCAGCCGAGCCCCGCAUGGACGACUCGGGCACCAUGUGGGAUGCUCAGCUGCAGAUGCAGAUGGAGGAGAUGCUGAUGGAGGAACAUGCCGUGGAGCAGCAGAAAGCUCUCAGCUCCCAUCCCCCAGAGGACACUGCCUUUCACCAGCGU